UACAGAGGUCCCGAGCGUUGUUCGGAUUCACUGGGCGUAAAGGGUGCGUAGGUGGUGAGGUAAGUCGGAUGUGAAAUCUCCGGGCUCAACCCGGAAAUGGCAUUGGAAACUACCUUGCUAGAGGAUUUGAGGGGGAUUGGAAUACUUGGUGUAGCAGUGAAAUGCGUAGAUAUCAAGUGGAACACCAGUGGCGAAGGCGAAUCCCUGGAAAUACCUGACACUGAGGCACGAAAGCUAGGGAG
rnacentral:rRNA from 1 species